UACAGAGGUCUCAAGCGUUGUUCGGAUUCAUUGGGCGUAAAGGGUGUGUAGGUGGCGCGCUAAGUCGGGUGUGAAAUUUCGGAGCUUAACUCCGAAACUGCAUUCGAUACUGGCGUGCUUGGGGACUGGAGAGGAGACUGGAAUUCAUGGUGUAGCAGUGAAAUGCGUAGAGAUCAUGAGGAAGACCAGUGGCGAAGGCGGGUCUCUGGACAGUAACUGACGCUGAGACGCGAAAGCGUGGGGAGCAAACAGG
rnacentral:rRNA from 1 species